UUCUUGCUCAGUUGUGUUGCUUGUGUUAGAGCAGCCAGUGAGAAGUCAAGAAGGCUCCCAGCUGUUUCAACCAUCCUGAUAGCCGAGAGGACCACAUUGGAAAGAAGAAUGCAACACACAUCUAAGAAUGGAAAGGAACAGCCGGGCAAAUGAAGAGAACCUAGCUCACCUCAGCAAGAACUACUGGAAAUAUGGCAUAAAUCCUCCAAUAGAUUAAUCAGUACUCAGAGAAACGUUGAUGUGGGAAAGUGAAGAUCUCGAGAUGGGAACAGAAUAAUCAAAAGAGACAGUCCCUGGCUUCAUCUGUCUGAUGUCACCCCUCAGUUGGAUCCACGUGGGGAAGAGAAUCUGGGAAGUGCCAUGGCUGGCCCAGAACAAGAGACACAGUGUGGAGUGAAGAGAGCACAGUGGCCGACUGUGUCUGAGUGGUUACAGGUCACGUGGUGUGGCCUGCAGGGGACAGUGCAAGAAACAGCAGCCCUGCUUUGCAAUCAGGAUAGGCAGCUGGCCAGUCUUCUGAACGAGCAGCAAAUAACCCCCUUCAUUCUAUCCAGUGUGUCAUGGAGACAGAAAGGAAGUCACUUAACCUGGUCCUUUACCUGGGUGCCAACCCUGUGCCAUCGUUCAAGCACACUGUUAAAGUUAACACUCUUACCAUCACUUCCCCGAGCAAAGACUGGAGCAAGCAUGGUUACAGGGAGUUAUAAAGCUGUCCUGCAAUAGCCAGGGUUUGGGGAUUGUCAAGAGGCCUCUCAGGAACUGGUCAGAGCAGCAACUCGUCUUAGGAGGGAGGAAUGUCUGUCACUCAGACUUUGGAUUCUGAGCUACUCUGGGUUUGCUUUUGUUGUUUUUCUUUUAUUGUUGUAGUCAAGGGGGAUGGUUUAAUUAUUUCUUGAGACAGGGUCUUACCAUGUGGCCAAGGCUUAGCUCCAACUCUCUACAUAGCUAAUGCUGCCUGAAAACUUGCAACUUCCUGAGAGAUAAGAUUACAGGCACAUACUACACACUCAGCCUCUGCAUGUCUUUUUGAUCCCAUCUCCAGAAAUGAGCAUUCCCUGCCCUCCAUGAAUGUGGCAGGAAACACUCAUGUUAGUCUCUUUAUGGGUCUCUUUUUAGUAAUUAAAACCUUAUCACAAAGAACUUGAAAACUAAAAACAUCACACACUAGCAUUCACCAUGUGCAGAGUCUGGAAGUUUCAGUGAAUGUCUGCUUGGUUAGAACAGCCCUUCUCAAGUGGCACAGCGCUACACUGCAAGCCACACCCUCACUGUUGAACUUGUUCUUAUACACUCAUCCACCACCAAAGCCCAAAACUCCCACAACUGGGUUGAAACUAGAGAAACAACUAACUUUAUAUUCUUUCAUGAAUUGUGUCCAUCACCUGCAUCUGGUCCUUCCUUGUUCCCUAAUAUCUAUCCUUUUUAUAAAAUAUACUGUACCCACAAAUACAUUUAUUUAUAUAGAUACAUGGCUAGGAUGUGGGCCCUACUAUUCAACUCUUAAAAAAUUCAAAGGAAAAUGGAUACACUUAGUAAGUACAACACUAAGAGACCACACAACCUCAGGAAGAAAAAUCCACACACUCUCCUCACAGGUCUUAAAACAUUGACCAGCCUAUUGGAACCCCAAUUCUAAACUCCUGGUGGGGAGACAACAUCCCCACUGACUAAGCUUGAGGAGGAUUCUCACAUGCUCCGCCCUAUUCCACGAGCAUUUUACACAAGAACGUUUCAUAGGUGCUAAAGCACCACACAGACAGAAGACCGCAUGGGAUCGUUUCCAGUAAGAACUGUUCUGAACUGUGUAAAAAUUCCAAGGAAGGCUGUCCAUCUCAGGACAGUGCUGUCACACAGAGGCCGUGUAGUCAGCCUGCACAUUCCAAGGGUGCCACCCCCCCCCCCCGUCCCUCAUCAGGUCUGUAAGCAUGACAAGCCCCUUAACUCACGAAGCCCAAGGAAGUGGUAGCGUUGGUUUCAUGAGAUUUCCAGGCAGCAUAAUGGAGGCUCACAUGCUGAGGACUGUGCAAGUUACUUCCUCUGCUGCAUAAAACACUGACCAAAAGCAACUGGAGAAGGAAAGAUCUUACUUCUGCUCAUAGAUCAUGGUCCAUCGUUAAGGGAAGCCAGGGCAGAAGCUGGGAGCCUGGACCUGAAGCCAGGAACUGAGGCAGAAACCAUGGAAUAACAUAGUUUGCUGGCUUGCACACAGGUUCAUGAUCAGCUACUUUUAUAAAACCCUGCCUAGGAAUGGUACUGCCCACAGCAUAGUAGAUCCUCCUAUAUUAAUUAAUGUCCCACAGACAGGCCAAUCUGAUGGAGGCAAGCCCUUAACUGUGGGUCUCUCUACCCAGGAGUGUCACACUAACAUCCAAGACGCACCAUCACAAGAACUCUAUCCAGGCAGGAAUGAUGGCAUUGAAAAUUGUCCUGGUUAUGACAAGGAUAGUAAGCUGACAAGAACUUUCUACUCUCAGACCCCAGACUGCUCAGGACUUGUGGUAAACAGUCCCUGCUGUCCAGCCUGCUCUGUGUCCAGUUUGCAGGAGGAUGAUUUUAUCCCUUCCUUCUAAGCAUGAGCCCUAGUCAAUAAAUUACAAAAGG